AUUGAACGCUGGCGGCAUGCCUUACACAUGCAAGUCGAACGGCAGCACGGGUGCUUGCACCUGGUGGCGAGUGGCGAACGGGUGAGUAAUACAUCGGAACAUGUCCUGUAGUGGUGGAUAGCCCGGCGAAAGCCGGAUUAAUACCGCAUACGAUCUACGGAUGAAAGCUGGGGACCUUCGGGCCUCGCGCUAUAGGGUUGGCCGAUGGCUGAUUAGCUAGUUGGUGGGGUAAAGGCCUACCAAGGCGACGAUCAGUAGCUGGUCUGAGAGGACGACCAGCCAAACUGGGACUGAGACACGGCCCAGACUCCUACGGGAGGCAGCAGUGGGGAAUUUUGGACAAUGGGCGAAAGCCUGAUCCAGCAAUGCCGCGUGUGUGAAGAAGGCCUUCGGGUUGUAAAGCGCUUUUGUCCGGAAAGAAAUCCUUGGCCCUAAUACGGUCGGGGGAUGACGGUACCGGAAGAAUAGGCACCGGCUAACUACGUG
rnacentral:rRNA from 1 species